ensembl:lncRNA LINC02542 long intergenic non-protein coding RNA 2542
AAGCAAGCCUGGGCAAUGGCGGGCGCCCCUCCCCCAGCCUCGCUGCCGCCUUGCAGUUUGAUCUCAGACUGCUGUGCUAGCAAUCAGCGAGACUCCGUGGACGUAGGACCCUCUGAGCCAGAUGGAGUGAAUUGCACAGGAGGCAGCCCAAGUCCAUGGGGAUGGAUAGACAUGGCUCCCGAUGGACGUGGAUUGGUGGGAAGACAGGCUGAUCCAGUCCAAGAAUAAGUAAAUGGCAUCCUUCCAGUGGAGAGCUGACAGCUGGGAUUGAAACAAGAUCCAGAAUUCACCCUGCUGUUUCUCCAUGAGUCUGACCUGCAUCAACUGCCUCCCUUAUUCUGGGAUUCCAGUUGUGGAGCUCAAGGACAAGUCCAUUCUGGGCUGGCUGUAUCCAACUUCUUUAGUCCAACUAUAUCCCCACUGGAAGCCAGGCUCUUUCCAACAGCUGUCACCCAUGCCUCUUUCUAUGUUUGUUAUCUGUCUCUAGGUUCUGGUAACUACUUCCUUCCCUUGCCCCUUCUGGCCUAGGGUGCUACCAAUCCCUCCUCCAAAUCCAACUGUCACUAGCCUCAAAGUACUUGUAGCUUCCUCACCUUACUUUCACCUUAAUAAAUGGUCCCCCUACUAUCUCUCUUCAAAGCACCCAAUUUGAGUGUGCCAUCUGUUUCUUGCCAGGAUCCUGGUUGGUACAUCAACCAAGCUGCACUGAUGGAGGAGCACUGUGCUGAACUUUAGGAAUGAAGCCACAGGGCCCUCACUGCCCCCAUAGUCACCUUGGUCAUCUUCUGCCUCCCUGAAAGACUAAAUUCAGUCAGUUCAGAUACAUACACAUCCAGACAUGUCAGGGAAAACUCCAUUUUGUAAGGAUCUCUGCUUAAAAUGCCAAAAGUUUGAAAGUUGGCAAACACUUGAGAAAAGCACAGUUCUCUGUCUUACUCUUACUCUAAACUUGGAGAUAAAUGCAUUUUUAAAAUUGUGCAUGUUAGAGUGCUAACGUGUACAAGAUCAUUUCUGGUGAGACACCACAAACAAUAUUUUAUGAGGCCAAAAUAAGAAAGAAGGAAAUGAAAUAGCUCAGGAAUCUCAGGAAGAGCUCAUCGAACACUUUGCCUUUAUCUCAGACCAUUUUAUCCACAGCCCUGUUAAUCAGGAUUGGAUAUACCUCCAUGAGGGAGUCUUAAACGGAGGGAAAGAGAUGCCACAACUAAAAAAAAGAAUGCAAUAGAAGUUUGUCUUAAUGCCUGUUCUGUGAUGCACAACUUUCGUAAGCCAAAAUUUUAACCUUAUGAACAAUCAGUUCUGUGCUGCCCUUAGCAGAGAACCAUAAAUUAAAGAUAAGCAAUGGUUCAGACUUUCCAGGGCCUUGACUCAGGAGUAACUCUGAAAUCCCAACCAAAUAUGUAUUUGGUUAAGCAAUUUGGCACAUUUUUCUAUUUUGAGGCAUUAAACUAUAAUUACAAGUCACUUUUAUUUCAUUCCAAAUAAAUGUCCCUAAAGUAGAUAGAACUAGAGGUUUCCUUUUUUUAAAAAAAGGAAACAGGAAAACAACAAACAAAACCAAAAAGAACAAAAGCAAAACAAAA